AUUGAACGCUGGCGGCAGGCCUAACACAUGCAAGUCGAGCGAGCGGCGGACGGGUGAGUAAUGUAUGGGGACUGCCCGAUAGAGGGGGAUAACUACUGGAAACGGUAGCUAAUACCGCAUACUAUCGGAUAACCCAUAUGGGAUUAGCUAGUAGGUGAGGUAAUGGCUCACCUAGGCGACGAUCCCUAGCUGGUUUGAGAGGACGACCAGGCACACUGGGAAUGAGCCACGGCCCAGGAUCCUACGGAGGCAGGAGUGGGGAAUUAUGGACAAUGGGGGAAACCCUGGUCCAACCAUCCCGGGUGUAUGGUGAGGGCCUUCGGGGUGUGGAGUACUUUUAGCUGAGAAGCGGUAUCAGAAGAAUAAGCACCGGCUAACUACGUGCCAGCCGCCGCGGUAAUAC
rnacentral:rRNA from 1 species